rnacentral:snRNA from 1 species
UGUGAGAUAGAAGGUACAUAAC